UAAAUGUAAUCUACUUCAUGCUCAAUCGUAAUAUUUUCGGUUAUUUUUCAGACGAUUAUUUCUCAAUAGUGCAAACUCUCGAAGCUGGAAAACCGGUUCUUUCAAUAGUUCCUCAAAGAUGGGUACAAGGCAAAUAUUUGUACUGGCCGGAUCGAAAAGCGGAACAGCUACUAAAGGAUUCUUCAAGUUGUCCGGCAGCGGGAUGGAGCAAAUUAUUGUGUAUUGUAAAACAACAACGAAUCGACAGUUUAACUGAAGCGCAGGAGGAAGCAGCCAAUUUGUCCGGUGUCACGACGGAUAUAUCAGAUGCAGGUCCAUCAAACGUUCUAAAUAAACGUUUUAAACGUAAACAAGUCGAACAGAUUGCGGAUCUGAAUUUUAAUAAUUUUAUAACAGCUAGUCAUGAUGGUUCAGAAAAUCUAAAUGUGCUACCACUUCCACAACUGUCGUACUGAAAACUGCUGAGCUAGAGAGGCCGCUUUUGGAAUCUGAGAAAGUCGUAGAAGAAUCAGAAACCCAUCCGUAUACACCCACCGUCAGUUUGCAAGAAAUUGAAACGCUGCCGUCAUUUCAUGUGGCCCAGAUGCAUAAUGAUUUUUUUCAGCCGAGUCCGCAAAAUGCGAAAUUUUCGACAAAUUGGACAACAUCAAAAAAGAAAUACAAAGUUCUGUGAUGGGAGCCAUUGAAAACAUGAUUGUUAGGACAGUAGCAACAAUAAAAAGCGAUUUGGACGCGAAAUUAGCUUUUAUGCAAAAACUGUCAACACCUGAUAAGGCAAACAUCGACCUGUUUAAUAUUGCUCCUGUCUCGUCCGAGAGUGAACUCAAGGAAUUAUAUAGUAAACUGGAGGAUGCAGAAUAUGCGUAAAAGUUUGUAAGUAUGAACUUUCUGAGUAUACAUUUAUUUUUGAAAAUUUCCGCACAUAUGAGGGAUAGUGGGGCGCAAUGAUUUUGUACGUGAUAUCAUUAAUUGGUGAAACCCUGGAAAAAAAAGCAAUUCGCUGUUGAACUAAAUAAUGUAAAUUUUAAAACAGUGAAAGGGACUUCAACGACGAAUUAUUACCUGUGCAACAAAUUGCUAACGGAUGAUUCUGCAUGCAAAUUUACACUUUAUGUUUUUCAGUUUACUUUCAUGAAGACUUUUGUUGGUAGCCAAGGAGAUCCUUGUAACGGAAUGAACAUUUGCUAUGACCUGAUCGAUCGCUUUUUCGAACGUAAAUUUAUGGUAUGAUGUUCAUGGACCGGCUGCAGUCGCGGCGAGAAAAGAAAGUGCGCUUUAAAGCAAUUUCAAAAUGUUCUCAAUGCAUUUUUCACAAUCGUGCAAAAUGGUAAUGAAAAUUUUUCUAUCAAAAUGUUAGAAAGCUUUUUCAAGUCAAUUGCUAAAAAUGCAAAAAAGCGAAGUGAAGCUAGAGGGCUGCGCAUGUCCAGUGUCCAUCGAAGACCGAAGAAACAAAAGAAUGCCACGACAGUUUCAAUGAAUGUUGAGUAUAUUGAUAUAAGACAUGAUCAACACGCAUCUGAUACCAGUACUGAAGAAAAUGAUGAGAGUGAUGUUCACCGCAAAAUACAUUGCAGCGAGGAAACAUUUCACGAUACUACAAUGAAUAUGUGAACCAUGCGAUAUUUGUAGCGCGCAUGUAUCAUUUUGAACGUGUUUUCAAAUUCACUAUAUGAAACAUUUAAGUUAAGAAAUAAUAAGGCUCUUUAUAGACGUUAAAACCUCCAAAUUUAUGC